rnacentral:tRNA from 1 species
GGGGCUGUAGCUCAUCUGGGAGAGCACUUCAAUGGCAUUGAAGGGGUACGGGGUUCGAGUCCCCGCAGCUCCACCA